rnacentral:tRNA from 2 species
GGAGCCAUCGCCAAGUUGGUAAGGCCGUAGAUUGCAAAUCUGCUAUUCACCAGUUCGAGUCUGGUUGGCUCCUCCA